rnacentral:rRNA from 1 species
CCUACGGGGGGCAGCAGUGGGGGAUAUUGCACAAUGGGGGGAACCCUGAUGCAGCGACGCCGCGUGAGUGAAGAAGUGUUUCGGUGUGUAAAGCUCUGUCAGCAGGGAAGAAAAUGACGGUACCUGAAGAAGAAGCCCCGGCUAACUACGUGCCAGCAGCCGCGGUAAUACGUAGGGGGCAAGCGUUAUCCGGAUUUACUGGGUGUAAAGGGGGCGCAGACGGCGAUGCAAGCCUGGAGUGAAAGCCCGGGGCCCAACCCCGGAACUGCUCUGGAAACUGCGCGGCUGGAGUACUGGAGGGGCAGGCGGAAGUCCUGGUGUAGCGGUGAAAUGCGUAGAUAUGAGGAGGAACACCAGUGGCGAAGGCGGCCUGCUGGACAGUAACUGACGUUGAGGCCCGAAAGCGUGGGGAGCAAACAGGAUUAGAUACCCUAGUAGUC